AUAAAAAAUUGAGAAAACAUUCUCACCUGUCUCUCUCGCUCUCUCGGUUGUAACUUGUGACUCCCUCCCCGCGCUUUGCUGCUGCUCGUGCUCUUCGGUAGCGCAACGAGAAAGAAGAAUAAGGGAAUGGGGUGGAAUUACCCAUACAUAUCAUUAGAGGAAAUGGUGAAACAUCUAAAAGGGUUUGUAGAUAUAAUGAUUUUAGCAUCUGGGUAUCAAUCCUCUGCUCUUUUAGCUCACUGGGACGCUCAAAACAUAAAAAAAGCCAUCCACUGGGGUUCCUUCUUCCAAAAUGUACUUAAGCAUAUGAGUAGCUCAGAUGUUUACCAGGACUCAAUUAAGGAACUUGAUGCAGCUCUCUGUCAAAUGAAAUCAAACCCUUAUUUUCCCCAGGGUCUUGCAAAUCUAUCAUGCGAUACUCUGAGUACGGCAAGGAGUUUUGUGUUGGCCCAUUUGUUCCAGACUUUAUCACUGAGGGAUUCACAUCUCAAAGCUUUUUUAACUGCUGUAAUUGAGAUGGAGCUUGAGAGGGUUUCGGAAUCGGAGCAUGAUUGUCUAAGUGUAUAUCUUAACAAGUUAAAGCCGCCGAAUCUGCAGCUUGAUUUGGUUCUAGAAAGGAGGGGUUUUGUGAAGGAUUCUAUGGUUUUAUCAGAAGAAAUUAGUCAAACUGUGAAGUUUGGAAAAUUCAGCUAUGAUGAUUUGACAAAGUUGACUCUUCAAGAAGUCUUCAAGAGGCAGUCUGCAGUGUCAUGCAUAUCGACAGUGGAGACAGGCUUAGAUGUCCUCUCUAAUGCUAUCAGGUGUAGUAGUGGGACUGAAUCUGAUAGUAGCAUGCUGGAAGAACAACUAAAACUUGAUGGAGCUCCUUCAUCUGUUGGGGAAAUAGAACAGCCGGUUGAUUUUUUCACGUGGAAUCAUUGGAAAUCAAAGAUGGUUUCAUAUUUUCUUGAUAAGAGAACCAUUAGAUUGGUCUCAGGUGCCAGCAUGAUAUUUUCUGCCCCUAAGAUGCAGUGGCUACAAGUGUUUGAACGGCUGAAUACUUCAGCAGAUUGCAAGAAUGAUGGUUUGAGUGAAAUAGUUGAACUCCUAUUACUCGGACACAUUGCAAGCCAAUGGAAUUGUAUAAUUGAAUACGCUACAUCAGUUUCAUAUUUCUCCGCCACUAUCUCAAACCUAUAUUAUGAGGUGUGCAGCUUGCUUACUGGAAGAGCUCAAGGUUUCCAUUCCAGUGAGAGAGCAGCACAUUCAAAGAUGGAUCUUUAUGCUGCCUACCUUCCUCGAUGAAGACCCUUGGACUUGGAGUGGUUUUGGACAUAAUGCUCAACAUGGUUGUCUGUGUCGGGGCAAGCUGGGUGGAGUUCAUUUUGAGCUUGGAACCUAAUAAUGUAUGCACUAUUUAUGGCCUUUGUUGAGGAUUUUGCUUUGGUGGCUAAAGUUCAAAGCUAACCACGCUCAUUGUGCACAGUCAUACUGGAUGACUGGCACUGGAUGCUUCAUUCAGCUUGUGAGGGACAAAGUUCUGCACCUAUCUUUUUGUUUGUGUCCCCUUGAGCAAAAUAAUGAGCUGCACCAGGCAUUUGUUGCUGGGGUAGAAAUUUCAUGUAGAGGUUCAUGAUGCCUAGUGGAGCGAACUUCCAAGGUUGCAAGAGUGUGGCAUUAAUCAUCACAUAUCUAUUUAUCCUUCUUUUGGUCUUCUGGAAACUGUUGCAGAAUUUGAUGCACUUGGCUGAAUGAACAAUGUCAUCUCUAAGUAUACUUUGUUAUGUUUCCUUACCGUGCUGUUUGUUUAUUUAUUUGCAAUUGACUGGUGCUGUAUCCAGUGUAUAGCUCCACAUCCUUUGUUCCUAUGUUUAUAUUAUACAUUUUGAUUGGUUUUAGCUGUUUAUAGCAGGAAAGUGAUAUUCUUGAGUAUCUAGCCAGACUGCAGGGCUAUCAACUUUCUCUAUUGUGGAAACAGUCCCCUGUCCUUGCAGCAGUUGCAAUCCCAUCAUGGUCACCUUUGUUGAGAUUGUAUCUAAGUGAAAUAGAGACUCAAUUC